CAGCCAGCCAGCCAGCCAGCCAGCCUCGUAGGUUACUUGGAUUCUCUAAAAUAGCUAAAAUACAGUUGUUGAGAGUGUUUCUCAACCAGCGUUUAACAGCAGCUGCAGAGGAGAUAUUUGGGGCUGUUGCGAAAACGAUAGCAGAGUACCAGGAAGAAGUUUAUCGUUCAAAAGAGGAGAACGGCCGUCUACAGAGGCAGCUUGGUAUCGUUCUCAAACCACCAGAGAUACAAUUACAUAGGACAGACCUCCAUCAGCUCUCUCUCACUGUCUUCGAAGAGGAGGUUCCCCCUGAGCAGCAACACUGUGAGCAGGAGUGGAGCCCCAGUCUGGGGCAAGAAGACCCAGAGCCCAAAUAGAUUAAAGAGCAACAACAGGAGCAACACAGGACCAGUCAGGAGGAAGAGUUUCAUAAUGACUUCUUCAUAAUUAGGUCAAAUGACUGUGUGAAAAGUGACUACGAUCAGGAAGAGGACUCAUGUCAGCCCUCACAUCUUUACCAAACCCAAAGUGAGGAAUAUGAACAGGGAGCCUCUCUACCUAGCACCUAAUUGGAACAGAUCAAAGCUGAACCUGAUGUAGAGGGCUACAUAGUAUUAGAACUAAGGAGUGACUCUCAGCCCCUCUCUGCAGUAAAUCCAGACUGUUCUCCAACCCCAAGUGAAUACAGGGAAGGUGUCAAUGAAGAGGAAAAAUAACCUUGGAUUAGGUUUAAAGCACUCAAAUCAAAGAAAGCACAGAAAAUAACAAGCCAAAGCUCCGGUAUCUGGAAAAAAGGAAGGAAAUCCACAGUCAUCCCAUCUGAACCCACACAGUCAAAGCCUUACUACUCCCUGUUGGUGUGGUGUGUGUGGAAAUAAAUGUUACUCUGUGAGUUUUUAAAUAAAACAUACACAAGAACACACAGAGGAUAUAGACCUAGAUUGCCUUUGCGGUGUCUGUGGAAAACACUUUGAGUCCAAAGAAAUUCUGAUAGACCAUCUCCAAACUCACAUGAAAAAUAUUUUUUGUCACUUAUGUGGUCAAUGUUUCAACUGGACUAGUAAUCUGAAAAGACAUAUGAUGAUUCACACAGGGGAAAGACCCCAUCGGUGCAGUGACUGUGGCAAAGGCUCCAGGUCGAGUGAUUGUCUGACAAAGCAUAUGAGGAUUCACACAGGGGACAAACUAUUUACUUGCCCUGUUUGCCACCGUGGUUUUAACAGACGAGAUAACCUGAAAGUGCAUAUGAGAGUUCACACAUGGGAGAGACCGUAUAUGUGUUCUGAAUGCUACAAAUGUUUUGCCACGUUAACUUCCCUGAAUAAGCACCAGACAAUGCACAAUGAGGAACGACCAUAUGUGUGCACUGAUUGCGGUAUGCGCUUCAAAGCGCUUGAAUCCCAAAGAAGGCACAUGAAGAGUGUUCACAACAAGAAGGAGAAUACAACAUGACAGUGCCUUGUAUGGGUUACGGUAACAGAUAGUAGAUGGAGGCACAUUCUAACCAAAUUGUAACUGCCAUUGGACAGGAGAACAGCCCUUCAGGACAGAUGCAUUGCAUUAUGGAAUAAGCGCAGUAGUUACCGUUACUUGUUAGUUACCAUUAGCCGUUAGUUCGUUUACCAACCGCAAAUAGCAGACAUCAGAGGUAAUUUAUGUGCCUGUGUUUUAUAAAGCAGCAGAUUCUGUAACUUGUUGACAGCCGAGCUUACUAAAUCCACCGUGGGACGCAUUUAAUUGACUGGCAGACUGGAUCCGGCCUAACCCAAAUCCAGGCCUGUGCAAACCCGACCACAGAACUGAUCUGUAUAGAUUAGAUCUAAUGUUGACCUGUUAUGAUUGGAAUGAAAAUAAUCUUCUCAACAAUAAAGUUUGCAUUUUUGUUCUCAA